AUGGUGCCAGCCUCCCUUACAAGCCAUCGUCAGCAGCCCCGCUGCUGCAGUUCAGAGGCAAGCCCCUCUGACCGCGCCAACUCCGGCACCCCUGCAGCCUCUCCUUCGACGCCGGCGAGUAGAGGCCGCCGCCGCGCCAUCUUGCCGCUGCUCUUAUGGUUCUUGGCGACCUCCAUGUUUCACUGGACCACUCCUUGCCCCGUUGCCGCUUGGUACCAUUGCCCGAGCGCAUGUCACCUCGACCACCACCUCGCUACCCUCUUGCGCCUCCGCCUCUGUUGCCUCCGACGGUGGCUGUUUCGUUUUGGGCUUCGUGGAAAAAUUCUCUUCGACAAGUGUACGAGUACACAGUGUCGCGUCCAGUAUCUCUACCGACGUCCCCUGAAUCGACAAGUACCAGCUUCACCACCGAACCAGGACGCCAAGUUCUGCUCCGUACGUGUACGACUACAACCGGUGAUGCGACAAGCCCCGCAUGUACAUCUACUCCAUCAAGACCGGACCGACAAGUACCCCAACGUCUUGUGUACAACACCAUCGCCGAAGACCCGGGUAGCAAAACGUCAAGUACCUAUGACCAAAGAACGCCAUGUACCUCUCCGAAGAAAACCGAACAUGUACUAG
rnacentral:rRNA from 1 species